UUGUCCAAGCUUGUCCAAGUCAGUUUCAAGAGGCUCAGCCACCAAACGGCUCAUCAAAGAGGAAGACAAGGUCAUCAGUAAGGCCUCACAAGAGCUACCUGGAAUGGGCAGGAAAGAAAGACGCAGAUAAGAAAAUUAAAACCACAGACUCCUGGGCGGCGAACAAGAGACUUCUGAUCCUAAUUCGAUCUGAAGUUAAGAAGGAAGGGGAUUUCUAUAGCAGUUUCUUUUGCAUAGCAGAGCUCCGACUUUUCCAGCAACAGCAUGUCCCUGGAAGCUACACAAAGUCCUCUUUGAUUGCCUGUGAUCAAAGCCACGAAGGCUCUCCUGCAACAUCUUAGCUUCAGAAAGCCAGCAAAAUCAGAAUGCUGAGAGUAUAUUAAUAAUUCCUAAACACAUUUUUAAGGAAAAUGAAUCACAUACUUGGCUUCCUUGGUUGCCUGUCAAGAAAACAUCUUAACUCUCCACACACUGAAAUAUCUUAGAGGCAAACUGGAUGCUCAAGACAUGAAGCCUGUGACGGAAUCAACGUUGGACUCUCCGCAGAUGGGGCCAGUGUAGCAAAGCCCUCUGGCAUAGAUGGGCUUCAUAUUACUGUUACCUACCAUAAAAUUGUCCGUGUGAAUCCACAGAAAAUUUUACCAACUCCCUUUAGGGCAAGAAAGAGAAAUGGGAACAAAAAAACAGAAAACAAAUCACUCAUUCUGUUCUAGAGUAUAAAAGCAGAUAUUGGCAGGCUAUUGUUAAAAGUUACCUUUAAAAUCAUCCCUUUGCUUUGUUAAAGAAAGCAGUCUUUGAUUUCAUGUACAGGUGUAUGAAACAUUUUCAGGUAAACAGUAUGAAGAUCUAAGGGAAAAGUCUGUGUGCCUCAGAAGAGGUAAUGGUGUGUGCAAUUGGAUUAUUGGAUGCUCUGUGCCCUUGUAUAAUAUAUAGUUAUGUAGAUCAUAUGUACGUUGAGCAAAACCUACCUGGAUCUGAACAUACGGAAAUCUCUAUGAACCAGUAAAAGGUAUUGGGAUCCUUUUUCUUAAGGAGAAAAAUCCUUCAAAGUUAGGUACCCUUUACUAGGCAGGCACACUCAUUACCAAAACUGCAGUAUGCGGACCAGUCUUGGGUGUUUGAAGCUUGGCUUUGUUACGAUGACAACUCUGUGUGUAAAUUACUCUGCACAGUAAAAUAUUCUAACCUCUCCUGCAUAGUAAAAUACCAAUCAGCAAAGAAGACAGAUUACAGCUGGAAUAAAUGCAGUUUGUACACUUGGAUUUUUCCAUACUAAUGAAGUUAAACAGAAAAAUAAAUAAAUACAACAAUAGGAAAGUCCAAAAUAACUCAUGUGUGGCUUUGUUAUGUACUUGGAGAUC